rnacentral:rRNA from 1 species
UGCCGCGUGUGUGAAGAAGGUCCUUCGGGAUUGUAAAGCACUUUCGACGGGGACGAUGAUGACGGUACCCGGUUACGAAGAAGCCCCGGCUAAACUUCCGUGC